AACAGUCCAGAGGCUUGUUGUCCUUGCACACGUCUCUUGUGUAAGUCAGGGAUAUCAGUGUCAUUAUUUUUGGGUGAGCCUCUUGUGCUUCUUCUUCACCAGAGGUUCAGUAAAUGAUGCUACAUUC